GCGCACCAGGCGCGAAACUUCACACUGUGCGAAAGCACGAUGAGGAAUCCCAAGUGCUUGCACGUAAGUGUAAGCUGUUUCUCUGUUUAAAACGCAGAGAGAGUAAGGGCUGGGUAAGACGGGUGCCAGCCGCCGCGGUAAUACCUGCAGCUCAAGUGGUGACCGUUAUUAUUGGGCCUAAAACGUCCGUAGCCGGUUUAAUAAAUGCCUGGGUAAAUCGUGUAGCUUAACUAUACGAAUUCCGGGUAGACUGUUAAACUCGAGACCGGGAGAAGUUAGAGGUACUCCUGGGGUAGAGGUGAAAUUCUGUAAUCCUAGGGGGACCACCAGUGGCGAAGGCGUCUAACUAGAACGGGUCUGACGGUGAGGGACGAAGCCCUGGGGCGCAAACGGGAUUAGAUACCCGCGUAGU
rnacentral:rRNA from 1 species